rnacentral:rRNA from 1 species
GACGAACGCUGGCGGCGUGCUUAACACAUGCAAGUCGAACGGAAAGGCCCUGCUUGCAGGGUACUCGAGUGGCGAACGGGUGAGUAACACGUGGGUGAUCUGCCCUGCACUUCGGGAUAAGCCUGGGAAACUGGGUCUAAUACCGGAUAGGAGCCAUUUUUAGUGUGAUGGUUGGAAAGUUUUUUCGGUGUAGGAUGAGCUCGCAGCCUAUCAGCUUGUUGGUGGGGUAAUGGCCUACCAAGGCGGCGACGGGUAGCCGGCCUGAGAGGGUGGACGGCCACAUUGGGACUGAGAGACGGCCCAGACUCCUACGGGAGGCAGCAGUGGGGAAUAUUGCACAAUGGGCGCAAGCCUGAUGCAGCGACGCCGCGUGGGGGAUGACGGCCUUCGGGUUGUAAACUCCUUUCGCUAGGGACGAAGCUUUUUGUGACGGUACCUAGAUAAGAAGCACCGGCUAACUACGUG